rnacentral:misc_RNA from 1 species
GAUGAAGAACGCAGCGAAAUGCGAUAAGUAAUGUGAAUUGCAGAAUUCAGUGAAUCAUCGAAUCUUUGAACGCACAUUGCGCCCGCUAGUAUUCUGGCGGGCAUGCCUGUUCGAGCGUCAUUUCAACCCUCAAGCCCCCGGGCUUGGUGUUGGGGAUCGGCGAGCCUCCGCGCCCGCCGUCCCCUAAAUCUAGUGGCGGUCUCGCUGUAGCUUCCUCUGCGUAGUAGCACACCUCGCACUGGGAAACAGCGCGGCCACGCCGUUAAACCCCCAACUUCUGAACGUUUGACCUCGGAUCAGGUAGGAAUACCCGCUGAACUUAAGCAUAUCAAUAAGCGGAGGA